rnacentral:lncRNA from 1 species
CAGUGUUGUCAAUAGAGCACUGUGCUGCAAGACAGGAGUCCUGAGACCCCUUCCCUGCCUGGGUGUUAAGGAACUCUUCACCUUGGACAAAUCACUUCAAUUUUCUAGGUCAGGAAGAGACUUACAAACUGAAAUACGUUAAUUGUUAUUGUCAUCUGACUUCGAGGUUGAGGAAUCUGAGCACAGUGGUCCUGAAAUCAAAUAGAGCAGGAAGUCAGAAAGGAAAAAUGAACAUUGAUGCAG